AAAAUAUACUUUAUUCCUUUACCAACGAUAAUAGUAACAUACAUAAAAACAUAAAUGUAUCUCCAUUUAUUUAAUAAAAUUAAAAAGAGAAAUAUUAAAUGUAAAAUUUAUUGCUAUAUAAAUUAUAUAGCAAUAAUAAAUAUUUAAAACUUCAAUGGUAAUACAUAUAUAUAUAUAUAUAUAUAUAUAUAUAUAUAUACAAAAUAAAAUUUACAAUACUUGUGAUCAUUUCUAUAUUUUCUUUAUUUUACAUAUAACCAUUUUUAAUUAAAUAAAAACAUUCAUUUACUUUCAAAUCUUCUUAUAAAUAUAAAUAUAUUAAAAAAUAUCCUUUUCUUACAGAAAAAUAAAUUAAAACAUAGUAACUAAUCAUUUAUAAAUAUGUUCUGAUGAAUAUUAUUACUAUAAAUAUUUUCUUUUUGGUGAUAUUAUUAAUAAAAAUAUUUUUUUUUAAAGCCAUGGGGUAAAGGUUCGAAUAUAAUAUAAUUUUAUAUAUUGAAAAUAUAAUAUAUAUUCAUCAAAAUAAUUGAAAACUAAAAAAAAAAUAAAAAAAAAAGGAAAAUUCUUUUUAACAUCGAAAUAUAUAAUUAUUACAUAAUAAAUAUAUUUUUUUUUUUUGAACUAAUAAGAAUAGUUAUAAAAUAAGUAUUAGCAUAAUAUAAAAAUCAGAUGAUUAAGAACAUUUAAAAUAUGAUAUAUAUUAUAUAUAUAUAAUACUUUUGUACUGGUGAAUAAAUUUUUUACUCUUUGCUUACAAAAAAAAAAAAAAAAAUUAAAGU